rnacentral:lncRNA from 1 species
CAAAUCUCUUAUGCAAGGAAAGAGGGCUAAAAUGUUUUCUGUUGAUCUACAACUGAAGGGGCCAUUUCAAGGAUCCAUAUUUAUCACCAGGAAGAUGGUGUUACUCUCAUAUGAGGGACCCUAGAAGAUGUUAUGUGUUGCAGAAAACCCUCUGCACAGCCAGCCCUUGGAGAAAAAAUGGAGAAUGUAUGUGUGGCAAUCUCAACCACCAAGAUUACCCAACCAGCAGGUCACAGUACUAAUAAACGGCAUGAAGCUAAUGGUUACCUCUCUGAGCUCCUCUUCUAACUGUAGAAGCCAAAGGUUGAGUGACGGCUUCUAUGAGACAAAAAUGUUAAAUAAAGUGAAUAGCCAUGGCUGUGAAAGUCGUGACCAACAAGUAGAAGAGUGA